UACGAAGGGGGCUAGCGUUGCUCGGAAUUACUGGGCGUAAAGCGCACGUAGGCGGAUUGUUAAGUCGGGGGUGAAAUCCUGGAGCUCAACUCCAGAACUGCCUUCGAUACUGGCGAUCUCGAGUCCGGGAGAGGUGAGUGGAACUGCGAGUGUAGAGGUGAAAUUCGUAGAUAUUCGCAAGAACACCAGUGGCGAAGGCGGCUUACUGGCCCGGUACUGACGCUGAGGUGCGAAAGCGUGGGGAGCAAACAGG
rnacentral:rRNA from 1 species